rnacentral:tRNA from 1 species
GGAAGAGAAGCGAUGUAUCGCAUUUAGUUUCGACCUAAAUUUAAGUAAGUAUUAUAUUACUCUCGUCCA